rnacentral:rRNA from 1 species
ACGAACGCUGGCGGCGUGCUUCACACAUGCAAGUCGAACGCUGAAGCUUGGUGCUUGCACUGGGUGGAUGCGUGGCGAACGGGUGAGUAAUACGUGAGUAACCUGCCCUUGACUCUGGGAUAAGCCUGGGAAACUGGGUCUAAUACUGGAUACGACAUGUCACCGCAUGGUGGUGUGUGGAAAGGGUUUUACUGGUUUUGGAUGGGCUCACGGCCUAUCAGCUUGUUGGUGGGGUAAUGGCUCACCAAGGCGACGACGGGUAGCCGGCCUGAGAGGGUGACCGGCCACACUGGGACUGAGACACGGCCCAGACUCCUACGGGAGGCAGCAGUGGGGAAUAUUGCACAAUGGGCGGAAGCCUGAUGCAGCGACGCCGCGUGAGGGAUGACGGCCUUCGGGUUGUAAACCUCUUUCAGCACGGAAGAAGCGAAAGUGACGGUACGUGCAGAAGAAGCGCCGGCUAACUACGUG